UACGUAGGGUGCAGGCGUUAAUCGGAAUCACUGGGCGUAAAGCGUGCGCAGGCGGUCUUUUAAGUCAGAUGUGAAAUCCCCGGGCUUAACCUGGGAACUGCGUUUGAAACUGGAAGGCUUGAGUGUGGCAGAGGGGGGUGGAAUUCCACGUGUAGCAGUGAAAUGCGUAGAGAUGUGGAGGAACACCGAUGGCGAAGGCAGCCCCCUGGGCUAACACUGACGCUCAUGCACGAAAGCGUGGGGAGCAAACAGG
rnacentral:rRNA from 1 species